UACGAAGGGGGCUAGCGUUGCUCGGAAUGACUGGGCGUAAAGGGCGCGUAGGCGGCGGUCACAGUCAGGUGUGAAAUUCCCGGGCUUAACCUGGGGGCUGCACUUGAGACGUGGCGGCUAGAGUGGGGAAGAGGGUCGUGGAAUUCCCAGUGUAGAGGUGAAAUUCGUAGAUAUUGGGAAGAACACCGGGUGGCGAAGGCGGCGACCUGGUCCUUGACUGACGCUGAGGCGCGAAAGCGUGGGGAGCAAACAGGGA
rnacentral:rRNA from 1 species